CUCCCACUACAACAACUGCUCCAACAACAGUAGCGCCUCCCACUACCUCUACUGUUCAGACUACAACAGCUCCUCCAACUACAACUCCUCCUCCAACAACAACAGCAUCUCCCACUACAACAACUGAUCCAACAACAACAACAAGUGAACAAAAUACUGCUGCAACAUUUGAACGGAACCAUUAAGAUUACAGUAAAAUCCAUCAGGAAAAAAUGCAACCAAAAUACUACUGCAACAUGAAGAAAUAACAGCCCCACUGACUACAAAAACCACUCCCACUGCAACAACCCCUCCUGCUACAACAUCUGCUCCUACUACAGCAACCACUGCAACUACAACAGAUCCUCUCAUAACAACAACCACUCCAACCAACAACAACAAGCCCUGGAACAACAGCAACCGUCACUCCAAACACUACAACAGCUGCUCAUACUGAAACCUCUCCAAUGAAAUGGCCGCUCCUUCAAUAACAACCACCGUUGCUGUGUUGUCGUAGGUUUUUUUUUUUCAGAUCAACUUUCAAGAUUAUAAUCACUCAUAACUCUGUUACCUUUAAUUUUGGGGUGAACUUUGUAUACAUGUAUAUCUAUA